rnacentral:rRNA from 1 species
CUUCAGUGCUGCAGCUAACGCAUUAAGCAUUCCGCUGGGGAGUACGGCCGCAAGGCUGAAACUCAAAGGAAUUGACGGGGGCCCGCACAAGCGGUGGAGCAUGUGGUUUAAUUCGAAGCUACGCGAAGAACCUUACCAGGUCUUGACAUACUAUGCAAAUCUAAGAGAUUAGACGUUCCCUUCGGGGACAUGGAUACAGGUGGUGCAUGGUUGUCGUCAGCUCGUGUCGUGAGAUGUUGGGUUAAGUCCCGCAACGAGCGCAACCCUUAUUAUCAGUUGCCAGCAUUAAGUUGGGCACUCUGGUGAGACUGCCGGUGACAAACCGGAGGAAGGUGGGGAUGACGUCAAAUCAUCAUGCCCCUUAUGACCUGGGCUACACACGUGCUACAAUGGAUGGUACAACGAGUUGCGAACUCGCGAGAGUAAGCUAAUCUCUUAAAGCCAUUCUCAGUUCGGAUUGUAGGCUGCAACUCGCCUACAUGAAGUCGGAAUCGCUAGUAAUCGCGGAUCAGCAUGCCGCGGUGAAUACGUUCCCGGGCCUUGUACACACCGCCCGUCACACCAUGAGAGUUUGUAACACCCAAAGUCGGUGGGGUAACCUUUAGGAACCAGCCGCCUAAGGUGGGACAGAUGAUUAGGGUGAAGUCGUAACAAGGUAACCA